GAUGAACGCUGGCGGCGUGCCUAAUACAUGCAAGUCGAGCGAACAGACGAGGAGCUUGCUCCUCUGACGUUAGCGGCGGACGGGUGAGUAACACGUGGAUAACCUACCUAUAAGACUGGGAUAACUUCGGGAAACCGGAGCUAAUACCGGAUAAUAUAUUGAACCGCAUGGUUCAAUAGUGAAAGACGGUUUUGCUGUCACUUAUAGAUGGAUCCGCGCCGCAUUAGCUAGUUGGUAAGGUAACGGCUUACCAAGGCAACGAUGCGUAGCCGACCUGAGAGGGUGAUCGGCCACACUGGAACUGAGACACGGUCCAGACUCCGACGGGAGGCAGCAGUAGGGAAUCUACCGCAAUGGGCGAAAGCUUGACGGAGCAACGCCGCGUGAGUGAUGAAGGUCUUCGGAUCGUAAAACGCUGUUAUUAGGGAAGAACAAAUGUGUAAGUAACUAUGCACGUCUUGACGGUACCUAAUCAGAAAGCCACGGCUAACUACGU
rnacentral:rRNA from 1 species